GUGGGGAGACACCUACCGUAGCCGGCCUCUCCACAUGGUGGUUCUCAGCCGAAGGAGCCAGCCCCCACAGCGGGGCCUGUCCUGUGGCUGACUUGCCCGGGUAACAAAGCAGCCCUGACGCAUCGACCAGCACCAGUUUGGCUGAUGUAACUUAGGAUUUUCUAAGCUGGUGUCCCUGGAGGCCAUGGAAUGCACCAAGUGGUUCAGUUUCUCCUGCAGCUGUUUCAUCUGGACUAUGAGGUUGGCACUGCCCAGCUGACCAUCUUCCAGCUGCUUUUCCUUAGCCUAGGAGUGAAGAGAACAUGCAAAGUGAAGCGACCGAGUUACAACACCAUUAUUUCUCUGGUGUUUCUGAACUAUUUUCAGACAAUGAGCACCUAUGGGUAGGAUCCAUGGUGAACCCUCCAGACACUUAAGAUGUCAAGUUUAUUUAAUGUCAUGAAAAACAGAAUUAAAAUUUAAUUUUUUUGUUUUGUUUUUGCCUAAAAGACAAGCAUCAUAA